UACGUAGGGGGCUAGCGUUGCUCGGAAUCACUGGGCGUAAAGCGCACGUAGGCGGGCCGUUAAGUCGGGGGUGAAAUCCUGGAGCUCAACUCCAGAACUGCCUUUGAUACUGGCGACCUUGAGUCCGGGAGAGGUGAGUGGAACUGCGAGUGUAGAGGUGAAAUUCGUAGAUAUUCGCAAGAACACCAGUGGCGAAGGCGGCUCACUGGCCCGGUACUGACGCUGAGGUGCGAAAGCGUGGGGAGCAAACAGG
rnacentral:rRNA from 1 species